UACGGGGGGGGCAAGCGUUGUUCGGAAUUACUGGGCGUAAAGGGCUCGUAGGUGGCCAACUAAGUCAUACGUGAAAUCCCUCAGCUUAACUGGGGAACUGCGCCUGAUACUGGUUGGCUUGAGUUUGGGAGAGGGACGCGGAAUUCCAGGUGUAGCGGUGAAAUGCGUAGAUAUCUGGAGAACACCGGUGGCGAAGGCGGCGUCCUGGACCAACACUGACGCUCAUGCACGAAAGCGUGGGGAGCAAACGGG
rnacentral:rRNA from 1 species